GUAUAUACGUCUCUCUCUCUCUCUCUCUCUCUCUCUCUUCUCCUUCUCUCUCCUUUCUCUCCAUCGACAUCUCACACAAACACACGAGCACCACAAGCGGCAACCACCAGCCACUGCCAAUCGAUUGAUUCCGAGCUUGGCAUUUGAGUCUAAUUCCGAGCCUUGGAUUUAUUCGUUUCAUUUCAACUUUACGAUCUCAAGCAACAAGGAUUCAUAGAGAGACAGGAGCUAAUGAGAAAUGGAUGCGCAAUUUCGUUGGCUUUGAUUGAGGGAUCCAACUUUGGCCAAACAUCUUUGCUGAAAAAA